UACGGAGGGGGCUAGCGUUGUUCGGAAUUACUGGGCGUAAAGCGCACGUAGGCGGCUUUGUAAGUUAGAGGUGAAAGCCCAGGGCUUAACCCUGGAAUUGCCUUUAAGACUGCAUCGCUAGAAUCGUGGAGAGGUAAGUGGAAUUCCGAGUGUAGAGGUGAAAUUCGUAGAUAUUCGGAAGAACACCAGUGGCGAAGGCGGCUAUCUGGACCGUAACUGACGCUGAGGCGCGAAAGCGUGGGGAGCAAACAGG
rnacentral:rRNA from 1 species